CCAAAACACCUCACCCAGUGUUGACCCCAGUGGCUGCUAACCAAGCCAAGCAGGGGUCUCUAAUAAAUUCCCUUAAGCCAUCUGGGCCUACACCAGCAUCCGGUCAGUUAUCAUCUGGUGACAAAGCUUCAGGGACAGCCAAGAUAGAAACAGCUGUGACUUCAACCCCAUCUGCUUCUGGGCAGUUCAGCAAGCCUUUCUCAUUUUCUCCAUCAGGACGACUCAGAGCUGAUGUUUGUGUGGAGAAGCACUCAUUCCACCUCCUUAGAGAAAGCUGCUGGGCAACACCCUCCACUAAAGAGUCAAGCCAGCCGGACGCAUUCUCAUCUGGUGGGGGAAGCAAACCUUCUUAUGAGGCCAUUCCUGAAAGCUCACCUCCCUCAGGAAUCACAUC
rnacentral:lncRNA from 1 species